CUGAGAUCUGGAAAGUCUUUCUUGUUACUGGAGCCUGAGAGGUGGUUCUCCCUUAUUUUCUGCUGCUCAGGGAAGACACCAUGACAUUACCCACUCGCAGACUUCCUGUCUUGAGUGGCACAGUACCUUCACCACAGGCAGCAUGAUCAGACUGCAAAUCCUUUGCGUUUGAGUCAGCUAAAGAAGAGACAGCGUAAGUCAGCAUGGUGGACAAUUUCCUUGCCUCCUGUUCCAUGUUUGCCCACUUCUGCCUUCAACCUGCGUUAACUGCACCUCGUUCUCAGCCAAACUAUAUAAUUAAUUGAGAGCGGGCCUGGCUCUCCCAGAAGCCGGAUGUCUUAGUCACUGUUCUAUUGCUGUAAAGAGACACCACCACCAAGGCAAUUUGUACAAGAAAGCAUCUAAUUGGAAGACUUGGUUACAGCUUUACAGGGUUUGUCUAUUAUCAUCAUGGCAGGGAACGAGACCCAGAGCACAAAGUCAGCCCUGGAAAGAAGAGGAGCCAGUGUCAACCAGCUGGAUGGUGAGAGGAAAACGUGGAGGUUGGCAGAAGGACAAAGGAAAGGCGGCUACCUCGUCCUGAGGGAACGAAAGAGCAAGUGGCCAUUUCCGGAGAGCUGCACUGCUCCCUGCAAGGCUGUGAACCAAUGGUGGUUUGCCUUCAGAGCUUAAGACCGAGGGGAGAGGGAAGGAAAGGAGAGCCGGGUGCGUCUUCGCUGCUAUGGAGUUGGAUGGCUUAUUUUGGAUGGCUUCCUAUCUAGACCCGGCAGGCCCGCCCCCUAAGCAAAGAGGCCUUGUUUAAUGCCAGCGUCACAUUUGAGGCAAGAAGAUGAAAGUUCAGAAAAAGUCCCCCUUUUUAGGAAUUUUUGCAGCACUUUUAUUUGCGUGACACAUAUUAAAAAAAAAAAAAAAAAGUCUGUUCGGCUACCCUCCUGCAUGCCCUCCCAUUAGCAUGGCCCCUUCAUAACUGCCUCCUCUGGGCCUUGGGACCUUGGCAAUCAGUCAGGGCAUUUAAGCUCUGGCAUUAGGCAGCAGGAUUUGGAAAAGCCAAGACCUUGGGAAAGAAAAUAAAAGUCUUAAGUGGUCAAAGCUGGGGUUACGUAAUCCUAUUUCUCUUGGGAUCCAGAUGGUAACGUUCUUCAGGGCAGCCAGUAGGGGGAGCUCAGGACGUUUAUCAGAACUCCAGCGAUCCGAUGGUCAGGAGCCAAGUCAAGGCACAAAUAAAACAAUGAACCUUUGUGGUUUCUCUUCAGCUCUUAAUCCCGAGAGGCUUCAACCCGGACAGCCUGAUUCCCACCCUGAAGGACCCAGCGACCUUCUCCCAGGACGCCUUAAUAGGUUUUCCGGAGUCUGUAGACUCAAAUCCCCCGCCCCCUCCUCCUAAGUCUCUCAUCGGUUUCCCAGGCUCUUGUGGGCUCCGUGCCUUUCUUUUGUCUUCCUGACUUUCUUGUGUCUAAGUUUCUUUCUUGUUUCUCUUCACUAUCCUCGAGUCACUAGUAAAACCUACGAAAAAUGCAAGGGGGUGAGCCCACCCCCAGACAAAUACAUCAAAGCCCCGCACUUUGAAUAAAAUCUAAAACA